AGCUCAGUGGAAGCUAAGCAAUUGGACAAAGCCAUCUAAACCCAAAGCAAUGGCUUGAUGGAGUUCACCAAGGAGGAUCUUGCUCUGAUCUAAAUAUACAGUGGAAAUCUGAUGUGAUCUAGGCUGCUGCACCUCAUCCACUAAAAUCAAAUCCUGGAAAAGAUUUCUAUGAGAUGGUUUCUGUCAUUCUUCCUAAACUGGGAGCUAAGUGAUUAAUAUAGAGGAAAACUCACAGAUAAACAUAUCUCUGCAAAUGCAAAUAAGUACUAAAGUGCUGGUAACCAACAUCCCCACCCCGGUUCCUCUUAGCACUUCAGUCAAAGGCACACUUCGAACAGAAGAAUCUGAACCACAAAUUAAGCCAGUCUCUACUACCUUCAGAAAGGCUUCCAGAAGUCAUUUUCCUCCCAGACCUCCUAGAUUUCUAAUUUCUCUAUUCCUGCUAGGAGGGACACUACUACCCAAUCUAGGAGUAUCUUGGAAGAUUCAAGUGGGAAACCAUUCAGAUCUGUCUCUUCCCCUCAUCGCAUCAACAUUUUAAUCUGUCUCUACACAAUGCAGGAUUCACAAGGAAAGUCUCAAAUCCCAUAGCGUUGCUUACAAGCAGCGUGACAACAAGGAUGAAGCCAGAGAGGCACCUAUGGUACAAAAUUUUAAAAGCAUGAAUUUCCCUCAACGUUAAGAAGAGAUGGAAUGUUCAUAAUGAGG
rnacentral:lncRNA from 1 species